rnacentral:rRNA from 1 species
AUGUUUCAUGAUAUAUAUACCUUGUGUGUUGCAUCCAAUUCUUGGUCUACUUGCUACUAUCAUAUGAUUGGUUGCACCAAUAUCAUUUCUUCACAUAUGCCAUGUCCCUUUGCUUGUCACAAGCUUGACUUGAUUGCCUCACACAUGAUGAACAAUUGCUCUUUCUAUUGUGUUGAGUGCCACACUAUAUUCACUACACCCUAUGCACAUUAUGCUUGGAUUGCCUUGCACUUGACCCAUGUGUUUAUACACUUCAUUUUAUUUGGUGUUGUGAAUACUUCUUAUGCCUACCAUAGACCUUUCAUUGAGUGCUUGAUGCUUGUUUGCUAUGACCUUGAGGUAGAUGCUUAUUCUCUUGUCACACAUACUUGCAUCUCUACCUCACAUUUGCAUCCUUGUCCCCAUGACAUCUUUGCUUGUGCUCAACUGAUAUGCUUACAUGCCAUGUCACAAUCCUUUGUCACACCCGAUGCUAUGCUUGAUGACAACACUUGUUUGGUGAAUCACCUCUUGAAUGCUUGGUUUUGCACUAAUGCUAACCACAUUUGUUUUUCCAAGUGUUUGUUGUUCUUGCUUCUUUUGAAGGAAUCACUAGACGGUGCGACAUUGGAGAGUGCCCAUUUCGAGUUUCAAGGUGAUGAGUGCUUGGUGACCGACCACUUUGACACGGCACCGCCAUCUCUUUCCCAUGGUGAUUUGGUUUUUGAUCCGAGGUCGGAUCUUUUCCAAAGGGGAGGGGAUGAUGCGGAGCAUCCUACGGUCAUCACCAUGUCAAGAGAGUCCGUUUGGCAAGUGACACAUGCGACCUCUACUUCUCAUACAUAA